AACGACUCUCGGCAACGGAUAUCUCGGCUCUCGCAUCGAUGAAGAACGUAGCGAAAUGCGAUACUUGGUGUGAAUUGCAGAAUCCCGUGAACCAUCGAGUCUUUGAACGCAAGUUGCGCCCCAAGCCUUCUGGCUGAGGGCACGUCUGCCUGGGUGUCACAA
rnacentral:rRNA from 1 species